rnacentral:sRNA from 1 species
AUGUACCACGCGCACGCUGCGACGCUGGGCGCGCUGUCCACACCCACCUGACGAAUGCUCGCUACGUUUAAUUACAC